rnacentral:rRNA from 1 species
CCAGACUCCUACGGGAGGCAGCAGUAGGGAAUCUUCGGCAAUGGACGGAAGUCUGACCGAGCAACGCCGCGUGAGUGAAGAAGGUUUUCGGAUCGUAAAGCUCUGUUGUAAGAGAAGAACGAGUGUGAGAGUGGAAAGUUCACACUGUGACGGUAUCUUACCAGAAAGGGACGGCUAACUACGUGCCAGCAGCCGCGGUAAUACGUAGGUCCCGAGCGUUGUCCGGAUUUAUUGGGCGUAAAGCGAGCGCAGGCGGUUAGAUAAGUCUGAAGUUAAAGGCUGUGGCUUAACCAUAGUACGCUUUGGAAACUGUUUAACUUGAAUGCAAGAGGGGAGAGUGGAAUUCCAUGUGUAGCGGUGAAAUGCGUAGAUAUAUGGAGGAACACCGGUGGCGAAAGCGGCUCUCUGGCUUGUAACUGACGCUGAGGCUCGAAAGCGUGGGGAGCAAACAGGAUUAGAUACCCUGGUAGUCCACGCCGUAAACGAUGAGUGCUAGGUGUUAGACCCUUUCCGGGGUUUAGUGCCGCAGCUAACGCAUUAAGCACUCCGCCUGGGGAGUACGACCGCAAGGUUGAAACUCAAAGGAAUUGACGGGGGCCCGCACAAG